AGCAGCAGCCGCGGUAAUACGAAGGGGGCUAGCGUUGUUCGGAUUUACUGGGCGUAAAGGGCGCGUAGGCGGACUGAUAAGUCAGGGGUGAAAUCCCAAGGCUCAACCUUGGAACUGCCUUUGAUACUGUUUGUCUUGAGCUCGAGAGAGGUAAGUGGAACUGCGAGUGUAGAGGUGAAAUUCGUAGAUAUUCGCAAGAACACCAGUGGCGAAGGCGGCUUACUGGCUCGAAACUGACGCUGAGGCGCGAAAGCGUGGGGAGCAAACAGGAUUAGAUACCCGAGUAGUCCCUGUCUCUUAUAC
rnacentral:rRNA from 1 species